UCCCAGUUCGGAUUGUAGUCUGCAACCCGACUACAUGAAGCUGGAAUCGCUAGUAAUCGCGGAUCAGAAUGCCGCGGUGAAUACGUUCCCGGGUCUUGUACACACCGCCCGUCACACCAUGGGAGUCGGAAAUGCCCGAAGUCUGUGACCCAACCUACGGGAGGGAGCAGCCGAAGGCAGGUCGGAUGACUGGGGUGAAGUCGUAACAAGGUAAC
rnacentral:rRNA from 1 species